AACAGUGGCAAUGACAAGAAUUCUGCUUCUGAGGUGUGCAGCAAGGACUGAAAAAGCAGAGCACCUGGCUUUUGAGAAGCCAGAGUGAAGUCUAGAGACCAGACACUCCUCUACUGUGUCUCUUCAGACACCUCAGCCCAACCGCUGGCUGCAGGACAUGAGAAGGACCCAAUCCUCCCAAAGGGCACGCGUCCAGCGGCUGAGCACUGCAGUCCCAGGGGAACGCCAUCUAGCAAGGCUCACUGCAAGCCCAGCAGCUGCGGAAGCCUUCUGCUUUAGAAGCCUUGCUCCAGUCACGGCAGCUCCAGGGAACUUGGAUUUGCUUUGGAAGACUCCACUCCAGCAAACACCCUUUGGUGACCUUGAGAUGACCCUCAGCACCCUUCAGGUUUCUCACCGGUGCAGCUCCCCUAUAGCAACUCAGCAGACUCUAAUUCUAAUUUGUAGAAUUAGAAGCCAUUCACAUGAGGCGAUGUGAUUGGAAGACCUGCGAUCUGAGCAGGCCCACAUCUCACACCCCUCUCUACUCCUCAGUUUUGUAGGCUCCAUCAUAGUGGCUUCUCUCCCUCUUACUGAUACUCAGUGUUGAAAUAUUAGGUCCCGUAACACCUUCUCCUCAGUGGUCUUUGGGCUGCUUGUGGUCUUCAUCACGGGUCUAGUGGGCUGAGCUGGUUGAGCAAAGACAAGAGACAUCUCCAGGCUCCCAGACCUGACAGCAGCAGUUAGGAUAGAGCUGAAGAGUCCAAGCACUUAGAGCUAGGGACUCAAGUACCCAGAUUCCAGGGCUGUAACACUAGAAGAGUUCUAGAAAGUGGCUGUGAUGGUCAGUGUUAAUAGCUUUAUUAUUAACUCCAAGUUAAUAAUCACUCAGGAGGUGGAUCUUUGAACAUGCCUGUGGGGAGAUUAUUUUGAUUAUAUUAAUUGAUGCAGGAAGAUAUUUGAAUCGUGGAAGGAGGCACCAUUUCAUGGGUUGAGCCCUGAACUGAAUGAAAGAGAAGGGGUGGGGCUGAGCACAGUCAUUUAUUGCUCCCCUGACUGUGUGUAUAAUAUGAUCAGCUGCUUCAACUCCUGUUUCAUGCCAUGAUGGGUUAUGCCUUGAACUGUGAGCUAAAAUAAAACCACCUCUCUUUUGUUGCUUUUGUCAGAGUAUUAUAGCUCAGCAACUAGAAAAGAAGUAAGACAGUGGUCAAGGGUAGAAACUAAGAAGAGCAUGAAAGUCAACAGUCUUGGGAAGGUAAGAAAUGGGAGAAGCUGAGGUUGUGGCAGAUGGGUCCGUAAGGAGAGGAAGAAAGGACCCAGACUAUAAGGACUCAAAGCCUUGAUCACUAGAAAGGCUUAAGAAAGAGCAGCCACGGUGUUAUAUGACAAAAACCUUUCCUGGGGAGAUACAACACACAAGCCUUUUCACUCCAAAUAGGGAGCCCAGGACAGACCAAAGUACAGAUAUGACCAAAGUCCAACUUGGUGAACCCUGAGUUUUACUGGGGUUAUUUACAGAAAUAUGGGUGAGGGGUUACCAGAGCAGAAAUGAGUCAGACAGCUGCAUCACCAAAGUCCACUCCAACAUGGGUGACUACUCAUGGACACUGGGAACCUGGACCAUGCGUCAAAACCUGCAGGUUGGAGAGUGUUCUUUCCAAAUGACUCUGGUCUAAACAUCUCCCAGGAGACUCAGCCACUAGUUUCUGUUUCUUCCAGGAAGCAGGUCUGCUUUUGUGGAUGUAAACAUAGUUUUGUUUUAAUCCCAGGUGUGGGAUGUGGGACUGAUUCAGAUAGUCCCCAGCAGCAAACUAUUUUCUUUGUGCGGGCGCUGAAAGGAGCUCUUUGACAGCUGCAGAUAGUUUAAAUCUGAGUACUCUGGAAAUCCAGAGAAUAAAUCACAGCACCCAGAGAGUGUGGAGCAGCUCCAAGAAAGAACAAGGCUGCUGCUGCUUCCCCUGUGGCUCCUGUUGCUGUUGUUGCAGUGAGACAAGAAGUUGGAGAUCUCCUGAAACAAGGAUUGAACUGGCUCCAAGGAACCUGAUGACCCUAACAGCAGGAAGCAGCUAAGAGAACUGUGACCCCUCUCCCACUAACCUUUUCUUUCCCCUAUCUGGUAUUGGGAUGUUGGAAGGCAUUGGGGUGGAAUAGGGAGAAAGAGAUAUAAGAAAUGUAAAUAAAAGAGUUUUUAAAAGUA